rnacentral:rRNA from 1 species
UGGGGAAUUUUGGACAAUGGGCGAAAGCCUGAUCCAGCAAUGCCGCGUGUGUGAAGAAGGCCUUCGGGUUGUAAAGCACUUUUGUCCGGAAAGAAAUCCUCUGGGUUAAUACCUCGGGGGGAUGACGGUACCGGAAGAAUAAGCACCGGCUAACUACGUGCCAGCAGCCGCGGUAAUACGUAGGGUGCAAGCGUUAAUCGGAAUUACUGGGCGUAAAGCGUGCGCAGGCGGUUUGCUAAGACCGAUGUGAAAUCCCCGGGCUCAACCUGGGAACUGCAUUGGUGACUGGGCAGGCUAGAGUAUGGCAGAGGGGGGUAGAAUUCCACGUGUAGCAGUGAAAUGCGUAGAGAUGUGGAGGAAUACCGAUGGCGAAGGCAGCCCCCUGGGCCAAUACUGACGCUCAUGCACGAAAGCGUGGGGAGCAAACAGGAUUAGAUACCCUGGUAGUCCACGCCCUAAACGAUGUCAACUAGUUGUUGGGGAUUCAUUUCCUUAGUAACGUAGCUAACGCGUGAAGUUGACCGCCUGGGGAGUACGGUCGCAAGAUUAAAACUUAAAUGAAUUGACGGGGUCAUAGCUGUUUCCU